GAACGCUGGUUGCAGUGUUUCUGCGCAGAGCCCUGGAGCUGAGGGGACGGCACAGACGUGCUGCGCGAGGAACUCCCGGUCUGAAGGGCCAGAUGCGAGGCCUAUGGAUGUGGCACCCUAAGAACAAGGGAAACUACAUGAAGCACAAAGGAAGAGAAUGUGGUGCCACUUUCCUGUGAUCCCCAAAUCUUGAUUCUGCUACAGGUACAGUGGUUGGCUACUGUGAAUUUAGUGACUGGCAUGCAAUAUGGAGGCCAAACUGGGCUCAAGAGUGACUGAAAACAAGCCCAGCGGGAAGGACACCACAGAAGGAGGAGACUGUCACAUGCAAGACUGGGACUUCAAAAAAAGUCGUAUUAAAAGGUAUGGUUCAGUUAAGUGCCAGCCUGUCCUGGAUACACCUUACUGUAAGCUUCUUUUUGACCAAGGAAAUUGAGGCACAGCCACUUCCACUUUCUUCUG